GGAAGCGUGCCUGAAAGAUAAGGAUUUCCUUGAUAUGGAAAAUAAUAUGGGUUCAAAUCCCCUCACUUCCC
rnacentral:tRNA from 1 species